GGCAGGCAUUGUUUGGGCGCCAGAGUGUGGCAAGCACCCAGGAGACCGGGCUGGCACAAUGGCCUUGGAGUGUCUUUGGCCAUGGACGUGUCGCUGAGUGCUUUCCCACGCUCUGGCCUCUCAGCAGUCCUGGGAAGGAGCUCGGAGAGCACUUACUCCACGCCAGGCCCAAGGACACAAGCAGAGAUGUCACAGGAGGGGGAGGUCCAGAUGGCAGCACCCCCCGCCCAAAUAUGAAAUCACCAUGUAGCUCAAAGCGUUGUGGAGGAUUUGAUCCGUAAAGCAUGACAAAGGGCGGCCAAUCCUGCUGUUACCAGCACAGAGUCAUUGCUAAAAGGAGGAAUUUUAUCUGAAAAACUCAUAGUAAUUUUGCAUUCUCCUCUAUAAUCUAUCUGUGCUCCUUUUCACGAAAAACAAAA